GGCGCGACGGUUAAAGUGAAUACAACGGUCACUUUCCUUUUCGAUCGGUCAGUCAACGAGUAUGGCUCUGCGCGAAUGGUACGCGGAUCGCGAGCUGCUUCUAACGGGAGCGACCAGCGACGUGGGACGAGCGUUGCUCGAGAAGGUCCUUCGCUCGUUCCCGCACGUGAAGAUAUACGCGAUCGUUCGUACCCGCCACGGCUUCACCAAAGACGACAGGAUCAAGAAUAUCUUUCUUUCGCCACGAUUCGAGAGAUUGAGACAAGAGGACCCGAACGCUCUCUCACGGGUGAAAGCGAUAGAGGGUAAUUUAUCGUACAACGAUUUCGGCAUGAGCGAGAGGGACAAGGAGCUGUUGGGAAACGUGAGCGUGGUGUUCCACGCCGCAGGUCCGUGCAACGAGACAUUUCGAUUCUCCAAACAAUUAUCGCGGAUCCAAGUUGUGGCAGUGGUGACGAGCAUCUUCGAGCGGGCGAGCGACGACCGAGUGGUCGAGGCGGGGAAGGAAGGGGACGAUGGACCCAUGGCACUGGUGCGGGUUCCGUUGGUCGGGCCUGCACUCCGCGAGCCCAUGCCCGGAUUCGUGGACACGCUGAAAGGAUCGACAGCUUUGAUAGCGGGAGCAGGCCACGUCCUCGGCAAUUCGAACCUUCAGGCGGAAAUUAUUCCGAUCGACCUGGCGGUCAACACUUUGAUCACUGUUGCUUGGGAACGAGCCACCUCAAAAAAUGUACAAGGUCCAGUGAUAUACAACGCGAUCCCGAUAGGAUGCACAUGGAGUGACCUGAUUAAGAAAUCUCAGCGAGCCAACCGAAAGUUUGCAUAUCCGACUUUCGGCUUCCGUGGUAUGACAUCUAUAGUAACGCUACAUUGGGCUUUGGUGGUGCUUUUUGAAUGGUUGCCAUCCACACUCUGCGACACGAUUCUCGGACUAGUCGGAGCAAAGAAAAGAAGGAACGUAGAAAAGAAACCUUUCGAUUCAGAAAACAAUUCAGUAGUCAAUAGGAGGCAAAUGGAUAAUCAUUAUCAACGAAUACUUAUCAAAAUCAAUCCGAGGUGUACACAACGAGAAGCUUAUCCACACGUACGCCCGUUUCAUCCAUGAUGACAGCGUUUCCCCUGGAUCCGGACGAGUUGGUUGAAAGUUGGACAGGAGUGGCGGUGGAUCGGUUGGAUCAUCGGUUGGACACGCGAUCGGUUGGAAAAUUUUUGCACGCGAUCGUCGAGCGCACUUAUCAGGCCGAACCCUCGGGACUCUACAACACCGCAAACAUAAUCAACAGCUGUCACGAAGGAAUCAACCGCGAUUAAGCCCGGAGCUUCUCGAGCUUGCAGCAACUUGCAACAACGAGCUUGUUGUACGACUGAAAGCACAGAUUUUUUAUAUAUGAUUAUACGUAAUUGUAAUUGUGAUUGGGGGACAGUCGAAAUAAGACUAAAUACGAUGUAAUAUAAAAUUAUGAUAAUUCUGUUUUGCGCGAGAUGAGACACUUUUCUUUUAUUUUUUAUUAUUAUAAUAAAAUAUUUCCAGGGACGAGGAAAGAUGGUGACAAUUUGAGAGUUGAUCUCGCGCGUCCAAAGAGAUAUUCUCAGUCGGAAAAAAUAAUAUAAACGAUCUGUAUAAAUUUUUCUCGAAUUUUCCUUCAAAGUAACUCUAUCUAUGUAAACUUUCGUGCGAUUGGUGUGAGUUUGCAGAUGCGGAUGGGAGAAAUUUAAGUGGACGUAAUAUAAAAGGAAACCAAAGAAAUUAAUUAUCCCUUCGCUUCGCCAGGAUGAUUAAGGAUUAUUAAUUAACAAAGAAUUAUUAUCCGUAAAAGGGAGGCGUACUUAAUGGAUACUUUAUACUUCGUGGCUCUCGAGGAAAAUGGAAGAAAGAUUAGAAAAACGAGGAAAAGAUGAACGGAGGAGAAUUUUUGACGAAUUCUUUGCGAUUGUGGAAAAAGUUUUUUUUUUCGAACGAAAAGAAAUACUCUUUAAUUGCGCAAUUCGAGGAUAUAAUUUUCGAAGGGAAUCGACGAGUGGGACAAGUCUUAUAUUUUUAAUGUUGAACGAACGUUCCACUGUGAUCGAUGAACACCAAGCUCUUUGCCUUGUUUAUUUAAAUAUUUCGCUUGAGAAUCGUGAAAGUUUUAAAAGGGAACUACGAGGAAUGUAAUUUAAAGCGGCGCUUAUUAAAGUUUAACGUUGAAAAGAUGCUGAAAGAUGCUUUUUCCCUUUGCUUGUAACUUUUUGUCCAUUGAAUUAUAGAGGGAUAGUGAUAAAAUGCAAUGAAUUCCGCUGUUCGUUUCCACGUUAACAACGCCCGUUUCUCAAAUCUAAGGGAGUUCACUUUAAACUUGAAAGUAUUAAGAAUAAUCGUGGCCAACCUCGAGAAAACCAUUCUUUUUAUUGUUAAAUUUUAACAUUUUUAUUAGAAGUUUGCAACUUCUCGAAAGCACAGUUUUUUUCGAUUAUUUCGAGGAGAAAAUUUCACUAAAUUUCCACCACUAUUUACUAUUAUAGAAAUAAUUUUAAUUAUUUAUUAUUCCUAAAUAAAUACACAAAAUGGAUCGAUAAUACUUAUAAUAAUCGAUGACUUAUACUUGGAUAAAUAUCAAUACAUUUCGAAUAAAAAUCUGAUCUUGAAUAUUCCUACCUCUUUGCAAAUAAUUGGUAUAUACAAAAAUUGAACGGUAUAUUAUAUCUCAGAUUCGAUUAAAUUUCAUUGGAUCCUAAGCGAAGGGAUUAACAAUUUCAAAUCGAGUCCAUUAUUCAUCCGCAUUCAAAGUUUACCGUCAAAGAAUUGGCAAGAUUCGGGAAUGGAAAACUAGGAGAACUAUGGUUAUUGGGACGAGGUUUAAAGAGAGUUGGUAGCACUGAGCAGAGAAAAAGAGAGUGGGGAUAUGUCGGAGUGUACGAAAUUAUGGAGAGGGGAAGGGGCGGGAGAAGAGGAGGAUAGUCUUUGGGGAGGGCGUUGCGCGAGAUUACGUUUCGCAGGCCGUGCAGUUUCUUCGGUUUCCGCGGGCUUGAUAAAUGCUCGAGAAGAAAAAACGAAACCUUUACGGGAUCUUUAAUUUUUCACAGGCGGAGAGGAACGAGGUUCCUUCGAAUAACACACCCGAGUUAUGCGCAGCAGAAGAGUGGCGUGAAAAUGAGAAAAAUAGUCGAGGUCUUGUAAAUUUCCCCUAACGACCUAACCUAACAUCUAUUUAACCAAACAUUGGUACCUUUCGCUAAUUUCUUGGGUAAAAAUAUUAGUGUUAUGUAAUGUUAAUGUUUUUGUGUUAUUUCUUGUGUAAAAAUAUUAUAUUUUUGGACUGUGUUAUUAAAGAGAGUGGUGUGAAAAUGAGAAAAACUUAAAAAUAACUUAACAAACUUAAUAUCGAUUUGCCAAACGUUGCUUCAUUAAUUUCUUGGAUAAAAAUAUUGUGUUUUUGUAUUACUGGCCAGUCUUAGAAGAGAGUGGUGUGAAAUUGAAAAAAACACUCGAGAUCCCUGUAAAUUUAACGACCUAACCUAACAUCGAUUUGCCAAACAUUGUUCCUUCGCUAAUUUCUUGGUAAAAAUUACGUGCUUUUGCAUUAUUGGCCAGUGUCAGAAAAGAAUAAUGUGAAAAUGAGAAAAAUACUCGAGAUCCUUGUAAAUUUACCAAACAUUGCUCCUUCGCUAAUUUCUCGAGUACAAAAAUAUUAUAUGUUUUCGCAUGAUUGGAUGAAAAUAAUUUCUCAGUUUGUGAAAAUCCAUCUGAGCUGUAAGAGAGAGACAUAAGACAAUUUAUUUGUUAAUAGAUUGAAUGCGCAGAAUAAGUGUCACGAGAGGCGAAGAAACAAUAGGAUAUUCACAUAUUUGUUACAAAAUUUCACAGAUAGAGGAGAAGUUACAACGACUUUUGCUACGAUCUCUGGCGAGAAAGCCAUUGUAUCUUUAUGCGGAAGGGGGGAGGGAAAGGCGAUUGCAGUCGACAUAUAGAAUAGAAAAAUUCGAGAUAAAGAGGCGUGGAAGGGCGCAGAGUGGAGAGGACAUGGAAAAUAAUGGAACGGAAGGUGGUUACGGGCCAAUCGAAACAACAAUUUACCAGCGGAUACUUUUAUCUGUAAUGGCAGCAGCCAGGAAGUUUCGAUAAAACGAAACCGAAAACGAAUUCGAAUACGAAUCGUCUCUCCUUUGUUCCUUAAAUAAAAUGGCAAAACACGAUUUCUCGAAACGGCAAUAAUCGGAGAUAAAAUAAGUAAGAUUUUCUUUGCUCGUGUAAGAAUCGUCUAGAAAAUAUUCGCAAAAUAAUUCGUUGUUCGAAAUUAAUUCUAAGAAUCAUUUUAACGCGAAUUAACAAACAUAAUCGAUUAUUAAAGAUAUGUACUAUUCAAAAAGUUUGAAAAGAUUUGAAUUUUGUAAGGGAAUUAAAAAGUAAAAAUUUAUCGUUAUUAAAAAAAUUAUUAGCAAAACGGAAUAGAAUAUUGAAUGAAAAACAC